rnacentral:rRNA from 1 species
GCGGCAAACGGGUGAGUAAUAUCUGGGAAUCUACCCAAAAGAGGGGGAUAACUACUAGAAAUGGUAGCUAAUACCGCAUAAAGUUGAAAAACCAAAGUGGGGGACCUUUAUAAGCCUCAUGCUUUUGGAUGAGCCCAGACGAGAUUAGCUUGUUGGUAAGGUAAAGGCUUACCAAGGCUACGAUCUCUAGCUGGUCUGAGAGGAUAACCAGCCACACUGGAACUGAGACACGGUCCAGACUCCUACGGGAGGCAGCAGUGGGGAAUAUUGCACAAUGGGCGAAAGCCUGAUGCAGCUAUGCCGCGUGUAUGAAGAAGGCCUUAGGGUUGUAAAGUACUUUCAGCGGGGAGGAAAAAAAUAAAACUAAUAAUUUUAU